rnacentral:rRNA from 1 species
UAACACAUGCAAGUCGAACGAAGGCCCGGAGCUUGCUUCGGUGUCCUUAGUGGCGGACGGGUGAGUAACGCGUGGGAAUUUGCCUUACAGUUCGGAAUAACCACGGGAAACUGUGGCUAAUACCGUAUACGCCCUCCGGGGGAAAGAUUUAUCGCUGUUUGAUGAGCCCGCGUCGGAUUAGCUUGUUGGUGAGGUAAUGGCUCACCAAGGCAACGAUCCGUAGCUGGUCUGAGAGGAUGACCAGCCACACUGGGACUGAGACACGGCCCAGACUCC